rnacentral:ncRNA from 1 species
CUUAUCAAGAGUGGUGGAGGAAACAGGUCCUGUGAAGCCCGGCAACCUGAAUUUCAAGGUGCUAAUUCCUGCGGUAUUUCCGAAAGAUGAGG